GGAUAAUCUACCCUUAGGACCGGGAUAACCCUGGGAAACUGGGGCUAAUACUGGAUAGGCAAUUUUUCCUGCAAUGGUUUUUUGUUUAAAUGUUUUUUCGCCUAAGGAUGAGUCUGCGGCCGAUUAGGUAGUUGGUUAGGUAAUGGCUUACCAAGCCGGUGAUCGGUACGGGUUGUGAGAGCAAGAGCCCGGAGAUGGAACCUGAGACAAGGUUCCAGGCCCUACGGGGUGCAGCAGGCGCGAAACCUCCGCAAUGUGAGAAAUCGCGACGGGGGGAUCCCAAGUGCCAUUCUUAACGGGAUGGCUUUUCAUUAGUGUAAAGAGCUUUUGGAAUAAGAGCUGGGCAAGACCGGUGCCAGCCGCCGCGGUAACACCGGCAGCUCUAGUGGUAACAAUUUUUAUUGGGCCUAAAGCGUCCGUAGCCGGUUUAAUAAGUCUCUGGUGAAAUCCUGUAGCUUAACUGUGGGAAUUGCUGGAGAUACUAUUAGACUUGAGACCGGGAGAGGUUAGAGGUACUCCCAGGGUAGAGGUGAAAUUCUGUAAUCCUGGGAGGACCGCCUGUUGCGAAGGCGUCUAACUGGAACGGUUCUGACGGUGAGGGACGAAAGUUAGGGGCGCGAACCGGAUUAGAUACCCGGGUAGUCCUAACUGUAAACGAUGCGGACUUGGUGUUGGGGUGGCUUUGAGCUGCUCCAGUGCCGAAGGGAAGCUGUUAAGUCCGCCGCCUGGGAAGUACGGUCGCAAGAC
rnacentral:rRNA from 1 species